ACAUGCAAGUCGAACGGUAACAGGUCUUCGGAUGCUGACGAGUGGCGAACGGGUGAGUAAUACAUCGGAACGUGCCCAGUAAUGGGGGAUAGCUCGGCGAAAGCCGGAUUAAUACCGCAUACGCCCUGAGGGGGAAAGUGGGGGACCGCAAGGCCUCACGUUAUUGGAGCGGCCGAUGGCUGAUUAGCUAGUUGGUAGGGUAAAGGCCUACCAAGGCGGCGAUCAGUAGCUGGUCUGAGAGGACGAUCAGCCACACUGGGACUGAGACACGGCCCAGACUCCUACGGGAGGCAGCAGUGGGGAAUUUUGGACAAUGGGGGAAACCCUGAUCCAGCAAUGCCGCGUGUGCGAAGAAGGCCUUCGGGUUGUAAAGCACUUUUGUCAGGGAAGAAAUCCUUUGGGCUAAUACCCUAGGGGGAUGACGGUACCUGAAGAAUAAGCACCGGCUAACUACGUGCCAGCAGCCGCGGUAAUACGUAGGGUGCAAGCGUUAAUCGGAAUUACUGGGCGUAAAGCGUGCGCAGGCGGUUGUGUAAGACAGGUGUGAAAUCCCCGGGCUUAACCUGGGAANUGCAUUUGUGACUGCA
rnacentral:rRNA from 1 species